CUGGCUAAUGCCACGGAAACAAGCCCUCCGUACUAAUCUAGCACAAUCCAUGCAUGCUUCCACAUAUUUUGGCAGGGGAAAGUAGGAGUCCACUGACAAUGGCUUGGGAUAUUGCUAGCCACCGCUCCUGAAUUCAUACAUUUUUUAUCUCUGGCUGGUGACUUCUUUCCACCUCAAUGGCUGCUGCAGGUGUUUGGACCAAGCACAGGGAUAAGCCCUCUCGCAUAUGCAGUUGGAUGGGAGGCUGCCUCCAAGGCAUGUGGAAACGGCAAAGCAGCGAUUCUCAGACAUCACAGGCUGCACAGCCAAAUGGGCACGGGGCAGUACACAGGUUAUUAAUCCCUGGCCUUUAAUAACAGCAGUGUUUCUCCUUUCACCAAGACAGCUUUUUAAGCAAGAGAGCCUCUUUAAUUUCUUGAAUAGCUUCCUUCGCUUUCAUUCUUAUAGAAGAAUCACAACUUCCUGGAAAAGAUGCUUUAAACAUUAAAAUACUGCACUACCAGGGCCUAGCAUACUUCGGAUUAAUAAAACUUGUAUCUUAAAAUAGAUGCA
rnacentral:lncRNA from 1 species